UGGGACCAAUUUACAGCUCAGGUAGAACCAAUAACAUCGAAAGUACCUUUCAUGAUUGCGAGGUAUGUUCAUCAUCAAGAAUUCUUCUGUGAUUGUGGGUAUUCUGCUUUUAAUUAUUUGAUAUUGUAUUUCAUAUAGUUCUUGUUCUUCUAAGCGUCUAGGACGAAAAUUUGUUUUGCAGUGGUAAUCAUGAAAGAACUUGGGAGAACAGUGGAUCAUUAUACACUGGUCUGGACUCAGGUGGAGAAUGUGGUGUACCAGCCGAAACACUAUACUAUGUUCCAGCAGAAAACAGAGCUAAGUUCUGGUAUGCGAUUCAUCUAAAACACACACAUUCUUAUUGCUAGUGGUGAUAAUAUGUGGAAAGAUUAUAAGGUCAUUGAGUAGGGGAAAAAACAAAGAAACUUUAAAAAUAAAUUGAUACUAGUACAGUCUCAAAAGGUGCAUAAUUCAGUAAGUUUUGUCAAAUUUUGCUUGAGGUACCUUAAACCCCUGAAAUUAAGUAAGGCUGCGCGCUCCGCCUUCCUCAACUGGUGCUUUAGUGCAGUCACCAAAGCGAUAAGGCAUCCAUUUCCUGGGUUCUGUCUUGAAAAGGUUUGCACUGAUUAUAGGACUGGCAAACUUAUAUACUAAUUUCACUAUAUUCAUAUUCUUGAUAUAAUCCUUUCUUUAAUCAAAUACUCACUUUUUUACAUUUUGUGCCUAAAGCUCGGAUAGACUUUGGUACUUUCCUAUGCUUGUCGCCUUUGCACUACUGUUAAGAAGUCCGAAAAAUAUCCUUUGCAUAAUUAAGAAACAUCAUUGUCUUCUCUGUUUUUCAGAAAUUUCGCUUUUAUAUUAAAUCCAAUAUGCCAUCGUUGGAAGGUAGAGGAGAAUGAUAAAAAUUUGCAAUGGGAAAUUCAGUAUUGUAUCAGCUAGCACUGGACUUCCCUUACCGGCACAUUACUACUUUAACUUCACUUUAGGUAUUCUAUAGAUUCGUCGCCGAAUUGACUUAUUGUAUUAAUAAGUUAAAAUCCAGUAUAGUCCUUGAGAAGGUGGCUGCCUUCACUUAACUAGUGUGUCAUGUUGCUUUCCCUUGCUUUUUCUUCUCUUUACAUGCUUUUCUUGAGCCGAAGGCAUAUCAGAAACAACCUCUCUACCUUCACAAGAUAGGGGUAAUGUUUGCAUACACGCUACCCUCCCCAGACCCCACCUAUGGGACCACAUAGAGUUUGUUUUGGUUGUUAUUUUGAUUUUUGCAGUUUAAUUUAAUCAACGUGUCGAUUUUCACAUGGAGUGUGUAUCUUGUUGACAGG
rnacentral:lncRNA from 1 species